UAAAAUAUUUUCAAUAACAGUACAAUGAAAGCAGGAGGAUAAUAUUCUUUACGUUUCUUACGGUGACGUCAUGUAGUCUAAGACGUUUUCUGGACUGUAAUGGAGGUUUUGAGUGUCCGGAUAUUGUGUCACCAAUAUGCGGAACAGAUGGACACACGUAUGGCAAUCAAUGUCACAUGGACAUGGAAAACAAGAGAAGAAUUUGCUGGAUUGGUCAUUUCAACAUGGUUAUGAAGGUCAAGGAUGGACCCUGUGAUGUGCCAACUUCAACACCAUCAGCCAUUAAAAAUUUUACCUGUUU